rnacentral:lncRNA from 1 species
UAAAAAACUGACCUAAAUUACUUCAUUAUAUGUAUUUCAAACAUCAAAGCGCUCGAAUUUCAGCUUGUAUUGUGCUUGGAUUAAUUGAAAACAACCUAAUUUGUCCUUUAUGCAUGUGGAUUUACGUCUCUCUUGCUUGAUCAUCAAGUUAAGCCUCAAUGCCACCGGUCAAGCUUGUUAAUUGCGUUCCCAUGAUUCCUUACACCCAACCUUGCAUCAUCAGAAGUCCUCGUCCCUAGAGGAAAAAG